GGCGGACGGGUGAGUAAUGCUUAGGAAUCUGCCUAUUAGUGGGGGACAACAUUCCGAAAGGAAUGCUAAUACCGCAUACGCCCUACGGGGGAAAGCAGGGGAUCUUCGGACCUUGCGCUAAUAGAUGAGCCUAAGUCGGAUUAGCUAGUUGGUGGGGUAAAGGCCUACCAAGGCGACGAUCUGUAGCGGGUCUGAGAGGAUGAUCCGCCACACUGGGACUGAGACACGGCCCAGACUCCUACGGGAGGCAGCAGUGGGGAAUAUUGGACAAUGGGCGCAAGCCUGAUCCAGCCAUGCCGCGUGUGUGAAGAAGGCCUUUUGGUUGUAAAGCACUUUAAGCGAGGAGGAGGCUCCUUUAGUUAAUACCUAAAGAGAGUGGACGUUACUCGCAGAAUAAGCACCGGCUAACUCUGUGCCAGCAGCCGCGGUAAUACAGAGGGUGCGAGCGUUAAUCGGAUUUACUGGGCGUAAAGCGUGCGUAGGCGGCUUUUUAAGUCGGAUGUGAAAUCCCUGAGCUUAACUUAGGAAUUGCAUUCGAUACUGGAAAGCUAGAGUAUGGGAGAGGAUGGUAGAAUUCCAGGUGUAGCGGUGAAAUGCGUAGAGAUCUGGAGGAAUACCGAUGGCGAAGGCAGCCAUCUGGCCUAAUACUGACGCUGAGGUACGAAAGCAUGGGGAGCAAACAGGAUUAGAUACCCUGGUAGUCCAUGCCGUAAACGAUGUCUACUAGCCGUUGGGGCCUUUGAGGCUUUAGUGGCGCAGCU
rnacentral:rRNA from 1 species